CAUACAAGUGCUAACGGAAAUGUAGUGUGUGGAUGGAAAUAAAUAACAACACUCAACAUACUUUUGAAGACAUUUUGUUUCAAGUUUGUAACAAAUGCGGUCAAAGUUUUAAGGGAGUUUGUUAGUCGGUCAUAAGGUAGGCUCAGCAAAACGAGGCAGGCGGCUAGCAUUAUUAUCAAGAGGUGUGCUAACCAUUAGGCCUCGUAUGCCAGGUCUACCUCCAGAUUGUGAGGUGCUACUUUGGACUUGAUGAACUCUUAUAGUAGGCAACAGAAACUCUUUACUGCAGAAAAACCGUAGUAGGUUUGAUGCUCAACAGAUUGCUGUUAGUUAGGAGGGAGUUAGUUAUAAGUUAAUAAUAAGUAUCCAUUGAUAUGUGUGACAAAACAUACCAACUGGUGUCAACAUCAGCUAGGCUAUGUUGGCAUUUUCUGAUGGUUCUUCAUGACUGAUCAUAAGGUACAAAAUAAAUAAUACAGAAAUACAGUGCUGGGCAUUGGUAGACAAUCAUAUUAAUCUGUCUAUGUAUCUAUUUCUUCUGUGUAAGCAGUUUCUUAUGGAUCCCCAGUUGCUGCCUCCUUCUGAAGCACAGGUCAUAGGCAGACGGGAAAAGCAGGCCUUAAAAGAGGGCUACAGGAUACUGGGGUGCUCCCAAUGAUAACAGAACGGCCAGAACUGGCUAGAGUUCUGUUCCCACAAGGUGUCUCAUCUCUGAUGGAUCCUAAGAUGAUUUUGAAAAGAGUGGUUUGACCAGAUGAGGCGGAGGUUGACGAAGAUGAAAUGGAAGACUGCCGUGUCACAGCCUACCUCAGACAAUACGUUUUUCUUUAGAGACAUUGAAAGACCUGGUGGUCUUCUGGACGGGAUGGUCUGUUGGCAGGGGCAAUGCCGACUGUACUUUGAAACUCCCCCUAGGGACAAGAAUGUAUGACACCUUCAAAGAAGCUAUGAAUGCAGCGCUGAAAUAAAGCAAUUAUGGUUUUGGCUUGAUCUAGUGUUGUUUUCUGCAAGUUCAAUGCAGUAUAGUCAACAAUUUCAGUGUUUCAGACGGUGACCAGAGUUCCAGUUGUUCAAUGAAUAAACUAUGCAAUGAGAAACUG